rnacentral:rRNA from 1 species
GACGAACGCUGGCGGCGUGCCUAAUACAUGCAAGUAGGACGCACAGUCUAUACCGUAGCUUGCUACACCAUAGGCUGUGAGUUGCGAACGGGUGAGUAACGCGUAGGUAACCUGCCUAUUAGAGGGGGAUAACUAUUGGAAACGAUAGCUAAUACCGCAUAACAGUAUGUAACACAUGUUAGAUGCUUGAAAGAUGCAAUUGCAUCGCUAGUAGAUGGACCUGCGUUGUAUUAGCUAGUAGGUAGGGUAAUGGCCUACCUAGGCGACGAUACAUAGCCGACCUGGGAGGGGGAUCGGCCACACUGGGACUGAGACACGGCCCAGACUCCUACGGGAGGCAGCAGUAGGGAAUCUUCGGCAAUGGGGGGAACCCUGACCGAGCAACGCCGCGUGAGUGAAGAAGGUUUUCGGAUCGUAAAGCUCUGUUGUUAAGGAAGAACGAGUGUGAGAAUGGAAAGUUCAUACUGUGACGGUACUUAACCAGAAAGGGACGGCUAACUACGUG